rnacentral:misc_RNA from 1 species
UUUCCGUAGGUGAACCUGCGGAAGGAUCAUUAUCGUACAUAAUGUGAGGGGCAUGCGAGGGCUGUCGCUGACCCAAGAGUCGUGCACGUCCGGGUGUGUCUUCUUACAUAAUAAUCCAUCUGACCUUUUGUGCCUCACCGCGGGGGAACCCUUCGGGUUCAUCUCGGAGGGGGGCUCGCGUUUUCACACAAACCCCCCUUUUAAAGGUGUAAAAUGACCACAUUUAUACAAUAAAUACAACUUUCAACAACGGAUCUCUUGGCUCUC